CUGGGAUUCCUGCCUCCUCCCCUCUAGGAAGACAUUCAGAAGAUCUCACUUGCCUGAGCCGGAGGGGGACAGAGCUGCUACUACCUGCUGUGUCCGUGAGGAAUCAGCCCAAUAGGAAAUGGAAGCAACACAGAAGAGAGACAGACAAUCAAUUGGCUGUCGCUUAUGGGUUGGUAGCAACAGCAGACCGGAUCUCCGAGGAUGCAGAGUCCAUACCCAAGGCUGCGCCCUGGGGGUUCUGGUU
rnacentral:lncRNA from 1 species